rfam:Nicotiana attenuata strain TT scaffold08082, whole genome shotgun sequence.
GGAUGCGAUCAUACCAGCACUAACGCACUGGAUCCCAUCAGAACUCCGAAGUUAAGCGUGCUUGGGCGAGAGUAGUACUAGGAUGGGUGACCCCCUGGGAAGUCCUCGUGUUGCAUCCC